CAAACUGACAGUGCUGCCCCCCCUGGACACCAGCGGGAGUUCGGCCACGCUCAUGUGCCUGGCUAACGGAGGCUUCCCGUCCGACUGGAGUCUGAGCUGGUCUGUAGCGGGGAGCAGCAGGAGCGGGGAGACCAGUCUCUGGGCCCCACAGAAGGACGGCCUGUACAGCUGGAGCAGCACCCUGACCCUCCCUCUCCAGGAGUGGACCCAGGACGUCCCAGUGACCUGCCAGGCAACACGGGGCUCCCAGACUGUCACCAAGAUCCUGAAGAAAUCAGACUGCUCCUAGGCUCUGCUUUAAUGUCUGCCAUUAUUCUGAUAUAGAGUGUGGCUGAUAGGGACUCUUGCUCUCUUGCUUCCUCUAUGUGUGUGUCCUUUCUCUUUUGUGCUCAGCGCUGAGUGAGUUUUUUUUUUUUUUAAAUCAUCCCUUUGUUAUUCUUAUUCUUUCAUAUUCUGUCAUAUCAUUUGAGAAUCCGAAGAGCGUGUUGCCUAGAGAUUUUGUGGUAUUUUGACUAUUUCAUAAUAAAG